rnacentral:rRNA from 1 species
AACGAACGCUGGCGGCAGGCCUAAUACAUGCAAGUCGAACGGGCGUAGCAAUACGUCAGUGGCGGACGGGUGAGUAACACGUGGGAACAUGCCUUUCGGUUCGGAAUAACGCAGGGAAACUUGCGCUAAUACCGGAUGACCCGGCGACGGAAAAGAUUUAUCGCCGAAAGAUUGGCCCGCGUAGGAUUAGCUAGUUGGUGAGGUAACGGCCCACCAAGGCGACGAUCCUUAGCUGGUUUGAGAGAACGAUCAGCCACACUGGGACUGAGACACGGCCCAGACUCCUACGGGAGGGCA